rnacentral:lncRNA from 1 species
CUGAAAUCACUGAAGAAAUCUAAAGCACUUGGUGACUCAGCAGACUAGAGAAUUGAAAUGAAGGAGUAGCUGAUUAAGGCUUUGAAUAUGAUGAAACAACAUCCAAGUUUUUCUCUCCAGCUACUUUUUGCUGUUAUCUGGAGUUCAAUAAGAUGAAUCAAUAUCCAAUUAUUGUGCACUUCAGUUUGCCUUAUAACAAUAUGUAUUAAUUCAUCACUACAAAUAUUUUAGUGUUCCAUUAUGCGAUACGUUGUAGUAUACUGUAUAACUCCAGGUGAAGUAAAGUAUAUGUUGAUGACAGGUUUCAAAAUUGAGGUAACAAAGGUUCCAUAACUAUAAGCAGCUAUAUCCUGGGAAUGAGAUGACUAUAUGCCCAUAAAGUGCUUUAGAACAAUUCUCUCAAUAAAUAAACAAACAAGGAACUAAGAGUGGUACUAUAUAGAAGCUGUAAUCAAUUUUAAGAAACUACAUCACAAAAAAGAGGCAUGAUUUCUGUAAUACAGCUUGCAGGAAAGACGAUAUAGCAGUGGAUCAGAUCGUAUCCUUACCAUAUCCAUGGUCCAUAUAGAGUUCCACCUUGAAGGAAUUCCAAAGUGAUCCAGUGCUACAAAAAAGAAACCAUGCUAGAAUUUCAUCAAUUCUAUAUAAGCAUCAGAUUUUGCAUUGUUCCAGUUUUCUCUUAACAUACCCUGCAUCAGAGUAAAAUCAUCACACACUUUUCUGACAAAAUUCAAUCAUAUUAACAGUUUGUAAAAACAAAUAUAAAACCAUCUUCCUAGGUAUUAAGAAUUCUGACUCCAUUGGGGCAUUUCAUCAAACAGCAUAUGGUUGAUUUGUUAGAAAAAAGGAAAAUUUUCUUACAUAAAACUCUUCUGGUAUGCAAUUCAUUCUGCUGAGCAACGCUACAUAUUUUUAUGUAAGGAUUUAUAUAGGAUUGGACAACUCUCCCCUUUCAACUAUGGUUUUGAGGUGGAGUUUGGUUCAACAUGUAUCAAGCAAAAUUAGUCUGUAGAAAUUCAACAUUAGUUUAGAAAUGUGAAACAAUAAUCCCUUUCUAGUAAAUGAGAUUUCUCUAUUCACACCGUUCAAAUACU